UUAUUGAGAUAUUAAGAAAAUAGUGUUCGGGUGCUUAUAAAUUAGGGUUUAGAGCAUCUACUAGGAUUUCUUAGAUGUCAAAAGAUCGGGAGUGAAUUUUCGGUUUUUUUUUUUCGUGAUAAAAUUUAAAGGUGAAUUCUACCUAUCUUGUAAAUUUGAGACAAACUGAACGGUUAGAUCAAGAGUUAUGAUUUUUUAAAGUUC
rnacentral:lncRNA from 1 species